UCAGCAAGUCACCAUCACACUCGGAUGGCGAAAAUUGCGCCAGCGUCAAACCAGGAAAUCCCCUUCAGAGGACGGAGUGCCGCCUGUAUCUGGGAGGCAGACCCGGUGAUUCGACUCAGAAAUUCAGUGGCCGCCGUGGAAUAUUUCCGAUUCCUCAAGAAUCCAGAAACCUGGCGAACAGUGAAUCCUUCUUUAUACGUCAUACCCGACAUCGACCUUUCACCCUUCGCCC